rnacentral:lncRNA from 1 species
CCUCCCACACACAUCCAUAUGCAGAGAAAUAAGGACAGAACAAUAUAUGCUUGUAAUUGUCAUUGUCGUAAGUGAAGUACUAGUGCCGAUGAUAGCCAGGACUACUUACAGGUCUGGCAACCGAGGUGUUAUUAUAAAGACCAUUAUUUAUAGAUUAUCAUUUUACAGUCAUAAUUUUUUUAAUGCAAUUGUCAUUAUCUGUUUAUUUAUUUAUGUGCCUUUUGUGAUCUCAACAACUGAGACGACUAGUUUCUUCCCAGAAGUUAUUACAUUUCAGCAUACGCAAGACUGAAACAUACAGCAACUGUUCAAGGGCUGAAGAGGCAGAGCGAGGCCUGAAGCUUCCCAGGGAGCCCCACUAUGAGAACUGUAGCUGGUGAGAGCAAGAGACCUAGAAACACUGCAGGUUUGCUGUGCGUUUUGAACACUAGGGAGGUACAAAGUCGAAGAGACGCAAAGUCAAAAAGCUCCUGGAGGUUUGCAGACUGCUCUUGGAUGGUGAAAGUCACAUUAAAACUGGUGCUGCUGGUGUGCUUUCUCCAAAGAGCAGCGUGCUUCCACAAGGUGAGCAGCUGUCCUACUUUGCUGCGCUUUGCAUUUUCACCCCUGCUGCCUGCACAUGGGCUGACCUUUCCCUUCCCUGGCACACA